GGCGGCGGCAGCAGCAGCAGCAGCAGUGGCGGCAGCAGCUUCUCCCAGCACUGAGUAGUAAAGUAAAUGAGGAGGUGUGGUCCCAAAAUAUGAAUAGAGAAAAAUAUGGGAAAUAUUCUGCAAUUGAUUUUUUUGCACAGCCUUUGUUAACUACCUGUGUGAUCUUGAGCAAGGUCUCGUAGGAGGCUCCUUCAUGUGAAGAACAAUGGCUACCUGAGUGUGGAGACAAUCCUCCU